ensembl:lncRNA
GAUAUUUAAGAAAAUGAAAAGUUGAAAAAAAAAUUUAAACAAUGAUACACUUUGAAAAGAGAAGGGAGUUUUAAAAAAUGUAUGAUUUACUAAUAGAAAAGUUAAUUCUGGCCAGGUGCGGUGUCUCAUGCCUGUAAUCCCAGCACUUUAGGAGGCUGAGGUGGGUAGAUUACUUGAGGUCCAGAGUUGGAGACCAGCCUGACCAACAUGGUGAAACCCUAUCUCUACUAAAAAUACAAAAAUUAGCUGGGUGUGGUGGCAGGUGCCUGUAAUCCCAGCUACUCAGGAAGCUGAGGUGGGAGGAUCACUUGAACCUGGGAGGAGGAGAUUGUGGUGAGCUGAGAGCAUAUCCACUAUACUCCAGCCUGGGUAACAGAGGGAAACUCCAGAAAAAAAAAAAAAAAAAAAAAGAAAAAAAAAGAAGAGAGAGGGGAAGGUGAAAAAUGAAAAGGGAGGAAAGAAAAGAAAAAAAGAAAAAAAAGAAAAAACAGAAAGAAAAGUUAAUGAUAAUUUGUGAGAUAGAAAUAAAACUUUUUUUUUUUUUUUCUUUUGAGACAGAAUCUAGCACUGUUGCCUGGGCUGGAGUGCAAUGGAGCAGUCUCAGUUCACUGCAACCUCCACCUCCCGGAUUCACCUCCCGAGAUUCUCCUGCCUCAGCCUGCGAAGUAGCUGUGGAUUACAGGCGCACACCACCACACUUGGCUAGUUUUUUGUAUUUUUAGUAAAGAUGGGGUUUCACUAUGUUGGCCAGACUGGUCUCGAACUUCUGACCACGUGAUUCACCCACCUCAGCCUCCCAAAGUUCUGGGAUUACAGGUAUAAGCCAUUGCGCCUGGCGAAAAUCAAACGAAUUUUGAAACUUAAGCAUAUCACCAAGAAGGGGCUGUAAACUUUCAGAUUCUUAAUCAUGUUUUACAACAAAACAAACCCCAAAAUACCAGGUAUUUAAAAUAAUAUAAAUUAUUACAUUACUUUUGUUACAGUCUCACCAAUGCACCACAAUGCAGCAGUUUCUUAUAGCCCAAGGUAUCACCCAAAGUUCCUGGUCUCACGAUCAAGAAAGUUAUGGAAUGCAGACACCAAUGAAUUAUUUUCCCUUCCACAAUUCUGGUUUCAGAGCCAUACCACCACCCUUACGUCCUGUCCCCAGACACACUUGACCCAGGAUUGGCCCAUGGAGUGCCCCAAGUCCAUCCAUUUAAGAGCCUUUUCCAGGACGAAAAAUAUAACUGGAUCUGAGAGAGAAAACAGUCUUCUCAAUGAUUGGUAUAUGGGCCCCAUGCUGCUGCUGACUAUGUUCCUUCCCCAAGAUAGAAAAAUCAUGGCAGCGGGAGAGAAUAAUGUGCAAGAAGAGAGACGGCAGAAGUGAGAGUCAAUGCAUUUUUCUUUUGGUUCCUUAAGUUAGUCGUAGAUUCUGUUGAGAUUCUCUCACUUUGCAACUGAAAGUGAUCUGAUGAGCACACGAAAGGAUAGCAAUUAUUUGAUUCUUUGAUAUUUAUGCCAGGUGUUGAAACUUUUACCUAGUAACUCUCCAUUUGGAGGUAAUUCACUCCAGUGAUGCUGAUUGUAGUUUAAAAAAAUCUUUAUUUGAAUAUACAAAAACAAAAAUGAAACCACUUGCAAUUUCUUAUGAAGGAAAAUUUGUUAUAUUUUUUCCUAAUGAUGUGAAACAACUCUGCAAACUGCCUAGGAAAAUAUAUGUCUUUCAGAUUCGAG